GUUUGCACUCAUCGGGGAAGGGUGAGAACCUUCGACUAAGGUUCGACUCGAGCGAAAGCGAGAGAACAUUGCCACAGGCAACGGCCCGAAGGGUGAGGAGCGAAGCGACGAAUAAUCCUUCCCCCACCAGCA
rnacentral:sRNA from 1 species